AUUGAACGCUGGCGGCAGGCUUAACACAUGCAAGUCGAACGAGUGGCGGACGGGUGAGUAAUGCUUGGGAAUCUGGCUUAUGGAGGGGGAUAACUACGGGAAACUGUAGCUAAUACCGCGUACCAUAGGAUGAGCCCAAGUGGGAUUAGGUAGUUGGUGAGGUAAAGGCUCACCAAGCCGACGAUCCCUAGCUGGUCUGAGAGGAUGACCAGCGACCCCGGGACUGAGACACGGCCCAGACUCCUGCGGGAGGCAGCAGUGGGGAAUAUUGCGCAAUGGCGGCAACCUGAAGCAGCCAUGCCGCGUGAAUGAAGAAGGCCUUCGGGUUGUAAAGUUCUUUCGGUAGCGAGGCAUUAACUACAGAAGAAGCUCCGGCUAACUCCGUGCCAGCAGCCGCGGUAAUUC
rnacentral:rRNA from 1 species